CUUCUGACCUGGCAGGAGGAAUAUCAUGAUCACAAAACUGGUUUCCCCAGGGUGAGGCUCUUCCUUUGCACACUUCAAAUGGGUUGACCCUUGUGAUUUUCCCAAAUGUGGGAAACUCAACUGCAUAAUUUAUGGUAGUGGGGGACUGCAUUCACACAGUUCCCUG